ensembl:snoRNA SNORD31 Small nucleolar RNA SNORD31
UGAACUAGGAAUGAGUUGCAUACUGCCCCAGUGUGUGAUCACUGUGACUGAAAGGUGUCUUCUGAGCUGUG